rnacentral:sRNA from 1 species
AUGAUAAGGGACAAUGAAGAUGUUUUCGCAACUUCAGAUAAAGAUUUGGGGUGCACUGAUACAGUACAAAUGACUAUCGAUACAGGGAAUAACCCACCUAUUAGAUUAAAACCUUAUAGGGCCCCACUCAAUCAGAGAGAAAUAAUAGAUAGGACAAUUGAGGAACUACUAGAGGCUAAGAUUAUUAGGAAGUCUAGGUCGGCUUGGGCUGCGCCUAUCAUUAUUGUUUCAAAAAAGGAUAAAACUUCAAGGAUGUGCGUUGACUAUCGCAGGCUAAACGCAAUUAGUAAAAUUUAUUCAUUUCCGUUACCAUUGAUUGAUGACUUGCUUGCUUCGGUAGGUAAAGCCAAAGUAAUGACUUCGCUAGAUUUAAAGUCAGGUUAUUAUCAGGUCAAGGUCAAGGAGUCAGAUAAGGAAAAGACUGCUUUUGUAUGUCACAAAGGAUUAUUUGAGUUCAAUGUAUUACCAUUUGGUCUCGCCUCAGGGCCCAGUUUAUUUAGUGAACUAGUUACAGAAGUAUUACAAGGGUUAGAGCAUUUUUCAACUGCUUAUAUAGAUGAUAUUUUGAUAUUUUCCGAAACAGAGGAAGAACAUUUAGGCCACAUUCAACAAGUUUUUGAUAGAUUACGACAGCACAAACUUAAAUUAAAAUUGAAAAAAUGUAAUUUUUUGCAAAAUGAAACCAACUAUUUAGGCUUUAUAAUAAGUAAAGAUGGAUUAAAACCAGACCCUGAAAAGGUUAAGGCCAUUCAAGGCAUGAAAGCUCCCUCGAAUGUAAGGGAAGUAAGAGGAUUAAUAGGUUGCUUGAGCUAUUAUCGCAGAUUUGUACCUUCAUUUUCAAAAAUUGCAGAGCCUAUAGUGGCUUUAACUAGGAAAAACAAGGUUUUUAAUUGGACCACAACUUGUCAGGUAGCUUUUGAAAAGUUAAGGGAUGAACUAGUGAAAGUACCAUUAUUGGCAUACCCAGAUUUGAAUAAACCCUAUGUGCUGUACACGGACGCUAGCGAUAGUUGUGUGUAGGGGCUUGUUUAACGCAAUUACAAGAAAAUCCAAUCAAGGGUGAAAAGGAAGUGGAAAGACCGAUUUAUUUCCUAUCUCAUAAAUUGAGUGAUACGCAAACACGUUGGUCAACCAUUGAAAAAGAAGCAUUUGCUAUUCAUUAUGCGUUACAAAAAUUGAAUCAUUAUUUGUAUAAUGCUGAAUUUGUGAUAAAGACAGAUCACAAACCUUUGAAAUACAUUUUAGAAUCCCCCAUGCAAAAUAAGAAAAUUCAACUGUGGGCUUUGAACAUAACGGGUUAUAACUGUAAGAUUCAGUAUAUUCCAGGGCCCCAAAACGUGUGUGCAGAUUUUAUGUCUAGAUUACCUUCAGAUGAAAAACCAAACGAAAAUCCAGAUCCUUAUCCGGAUAUUAGUGACAAUACUUACGAAAUUAAUGUGAUUAAUUCAAAUAGAUUUCAUUUUACUGAUUAUGCAAAUAAUGACAAAUUAGUUGAAGAUAUUCCAGAAAAAGAAAAUUUUCAGUUUAAAGAAUUUGAUAUGUCAAUUGAACAAAUGAAAGACAAAACAUUACGCGAGUUAAAGGAACAACUUGUAGGCGAUAAGGUACCCGAGGCAGUGCAAAACAAGUACAUCAUAAUAGAUGACAUACUUUAUUACAUCUCAAAUGUAGAUAAUGAUCCUAUUAUAAGGUUGUACAUACCUUCUCAUAUAAAACAAGCAGUUGUAGAACAGUAUCAUGAUAAGAAUGGGCACAUGGGCAUUGACAAAACAUUUGAUUCGAUUCGUCAAAAAUAUUUUUGGCCAAACAUGUUUAAGGAGUUGUAUAAUUAUGUCACCACUUGUGUACCUUGUCAAUCACGCAACUUACAAAAAGUUAGAGCGCCAAUUCAGGAAACAAAAAUUCCGCCUUAUCCUUUUUGUCAUGUAGGGGUAGAUUUGAGUGGACCAUAUCCAACUACCAUGUCAGGUAACAGGUACAUUAUAGGAUUUAUCGAUUUGUACUCGGGGUGGCCAGAAGCUUUUAGUGUCGCAACAAAAAGCACUGACAAUGUUGCACAUCUUUUGAUUGAAGAAAUUACUUCAAGGCAUUCUGGGAUACAAAUUCUAACAAGUGAUAACGGAGGGGAAAACUGUUCUAAGGCUAUGGAAGAAGUUUGUAAAGAACUUAAUAUAAAGCAUAUUAAAACUUCAUUCUAUCACCCUCAGG